UCUAGAACUCGAGAUAGGCUGAACACUGAACAGUGUCUGGGCUACAUGACAGAUUCUGACUUCUCUUUUGUUGCUACAAUUUGAACUUGAAAACGGCAAUUUUGAAUUUUGGACUCUUCAUGAAAGUUUUAGGCCUAUGUCUUAGCUUUCCAUC
rfam:Populus trichocarpa scaffold_11_contig_441, whole genome shotgun sequence.